rnacentral:rRNA from 1 species
CCUACGGGGGGCAGCAGUCGAGAAUCAUUCACAAUGGGGGAAACCCUGAUGGUGCGACGCCGCGUGGGGGAAUGAAGGUCUUCGGAUUGUAAACCCCUGUCAUGUGGGAGCAAAUUAAAAAGAUAGUACCACAAGAGGAAGAGACGGCUAACUCUGUGCCAGCAGCCGCGGUAAUACAGAGGUCUCAAGCGUUGUUCGGAAUCACUGGGCGUAAAGCGUGCGUAGGCUGUUUCGUAAGUCGUGUGUGAAAGGCGCGGGCUCAACCCGCGGACGGCACAUGAUACUGCGAGACUAGAGUAAGGGAGGGGGAAGCGGAAUGCUCGGUGUAGCAGUGAAAUGCGUAGAUAUCGAGAGGAACACUCGUGGCGAAGGCGGGUUCCUGGACAUUAACUGACGCUGAGGCACGAAGGCGAGGGGAGCGAAAGGGAUUAGAUACCCUGGUAGUC